rnacentral:rRNA from 1 species
UCGUACCGCAAACCAACACAGGUUAGUUAUUGUAAAGGCUGUAUAAAACCAGGAUAAAGGAACUCGGCAAAAUAGGUUAUGUUUUCGUACAAAACCACAACAAAAGUAGUGACUGUUUACCAAAAACACAAGACUCUGCUAACACUUAUAGUGGAAGUAUAGUGUCUGAUACCUGCCCAAAGGCAAAGCAAACGGCAGCUGUAACUCUAACGGCUCUAAGGUAGCAAAAUUCCUUGGCAUUUAAAUGAUGUCCCGCAUGAAUGGUAUAACAACUUCUUAACUGUCUCUAUUCUGGAUUAGGCGAACUUUAAAUGCUUGUGCAGAUGCAGGCUAGCUAACAAGGGACGAAGAGACCCUAUGCAGCUUUAGGGCAGGUUAUUAUUUAAAGAGUAAAAAAUAGAAAAACUAUAAAACUAUAAAAAUAACAAUAAACUACCUUUUUUCUGGGACGGACGCUCUUAUUAAAGAAACAAGAGUGAGCAAUGGUUUUUACUAAUUAUAAAAAAGAAAAGCUUAACUGCAAUACAAACAAUUAAAGCAGGGGCAUUGUCGGCAAUAAUGCAUUG